rnacentral:ncRNA from 1 species
GGUAACAGGUCAAUAAACCAAUCCACAGAGGGUUGAAGUCAGCUAACUACACUCACAUCGAUCAGUACGUGUACAAUGAAAUUGAAUCCGAGUGGUAUUAUUAAGCAUUGUUGGGCAAAAACACUGACUGUCGUCUCGUUACUUCAGAUGACCACUUUCUAUGUAAACCCUGAAAGGUUUUUAUGUGGCUGUGUUUGUUAUCUGAGCUAAAUGAUUUACGUGCGAAUCUUUCAUAUUUCCUUACUAAGCAAAAUUUCAAGUAACUAUGACUCUCUUAAGAUAACCAAAUGCCUUGUCAUCUAAGUAAUGAGGCACAUGAAUAGAUUGACGAGAUUCGCAUUAUCCCCCCCCCUAUCUACUAUUUCGUGAAAGCAGAGGGAAGAGAAGGGAUUUGGCAGAAUUAUCAGGUAAAGAGGACCCUAUUGAGCUUGACUGACUCUAGUCCAACUUCGUAAAUAAACACGAUGGAUGCAGAAUAGGUGGGAGUUGGGUGUAAGUGAAAUACCACUAUUGUCAUUGUUUCUUCCCUAAUUCAUUGAAACGGGAAGGAAAGUGGUAUUUUGAUGAACUGAAGAGGCAAUGGAAGAUGCGCAAGUCAAAUAUCCAGCACAGACGAAACAACUAUAUCAAAAUCACUCAGCUGAGCUACAAGUUUUCUCGGUUAUAUCUUAAAGGUAUACAUCCUUUUAGAAAGAGUACAGUUAUCGAUAUAACAUCACUGUUCGACACACCAUUCUUAGUCUGACAUUAUUACAACACCGUUGAAUCGACAAAGUCAAACAUCACCAAUAUGUAAGGAAAUAUGUCAUUUGUUGAACACUGAUAAAAGUGCACCUGUAUUUUAGAAGCUAUAAAAGGAGUACGGUUUUGAAGGAUGCACGCUUUUCAUCGUUUAUUUGUUUCUCGGAAAUU